ensembl:snRNA U6 U6 spliceosomal RNA
GUGCUUGUUUCCAUAGCACAUGUACUAAUACUGGAACGAAACAGAGAAGAUCGGCAUGGCCCCUGCGCAAGGAUUACACACAAUUCGUGAAGCGUUCCAUAUUUUU